AGCCGGGGGCCGGCGUGGUGCUGGCACUGUCUGGGCCAGAGCCUGGGGAUCUGGCACCUGCCGAGCUGGAGAUGCUGUCCCGGAGCCUGAUGGGGACACUGUCGAAGCUGGCACGGGAGCGUGACCUGGGGGCCCAGCGGCUGGCUGAACUGCUGCUGGAGCGAGAACCCCUCUGCUUGGGGCCUCAGGCUCCCUCUAGGGCUCCCGCCGAGGGCCCCUCGCACCAUCUGGCCCUGCAGCUGGCCAACGCCAAGGCUCAGCUGCGGCGUCUGCGGCAGGAGCUGGAGGAGAAGGCCGAGCUGCUGCUAGACUCCCAGGCCGAGGUGCAGGGUUUGGAGGCCGAAAUAAGAAGGCUCCGCCAGGAGCUCCACACCGUCUGGCCCAGGCCCAGGCGCUGUCGGGACAGGCCAAGCGGGCCGAGCUGUACCGCGAGGAGGCAGAGGCGCUGCGGGAGCGGGCCGGCCGCCUGCCCCGCCUGCAGGAGGAGCUGAGGCGCUGCCGCGAGCGGCUGCAGGCGGCUGAGGCCUACAAGAGUCAGCUGGAGGAGGAGCGGGUGCUCUCAGGGGUGCUGGAGGCCUCCAAGGCGCUGCUGGAAGAGCAGCUGGAGGCUGCCCGAGAGCGCUGCGCCCGGCUGCACGAGACCCAGCGCGAGAACCUGCUGCUGCGAACCCGGCUGGGCGAGGCCCAUGCGGAGCUGGACUCUCUGCGGCAUCAGGUGGACCAGCUGGCUGAGGAGAAUGUGGAGCUGGAGCUGGAGCUUCAGCGGAGCUUGGAGCCACCUCCAGGAUCCCCUGGGGAGGCACCCCUAGCAGGAGCGGCCCCCUCGCUGCAAGAUGAGGUGAGGGAGGCAGAGGCUGGGCGGCUUCGGACCCUUGAGAGGGAGAACCGGGAGCUUCGGGGGCUGCUUCAGGUGCUUCAGGGGCAGCCAGGGGGCCAGCACCCCCUGCUGGAGGCACCGAGAGAGGACCCUGUUCUUCCAGUGCUGGAGGAGGCUCCCCAGACUCCUGUGGCCUCCGACCACAGCCCUCAGGGCUUGGUUCAGAAGGCAAGGGAUGGAGGCCCCCAGGCCUUGGACUUGGCUCCCCUGGCAUUAGACUCAGUGCUCGAGGCAUCAGCUGAGUGUCCCCAGGCACCUGAUUCAGACCCACAGGAGGCAGAGAGUCCCCUUCAGGCAGCUGCCAUGGACCCCCAGGCCUCAGACUGGUCCCCGCAAGAGUCAGGCUCUCCUGUGGAGACACAGGAGUCCCCGGAGAAGGCUGGCCGUAGAUCCUCUCUCCAGAGCCCUGCCUCUGUGGCCCCACCUCAGGGUCCAGGGACCAAAAUUCAGGCCCCGCAGUUGCUGGGAGGAGAGACAGAGGGAAGAGAGGCUCCCCAAGGCGAGUUGGUGCCUGAGGCCCGGGGAUUGAGACAGGAGGGCCCUGAGCACAAGCCAGGGCCUUCGGAGCCCAGCUCUGUGCAGCUGGAGGAGCAGGAGGGCCCAAACCAGGGCCUGGACCUGGCCACGGGACAAGCAGAGGCCAGAGAGCAUGACCAGAGGCUGGAAGGGACGGUCAGGGUCCCAGCCUGGCAAAAACCACAGCAGAAGUCAGAAGGGGCUCUUGAGGUCCAGGUCUGGGAAGGCCCAAUCCCAGGGGAGAGCCUGGCCAGUGGUGUCGCAGAGCAGGAGGCCCUCAGGGAGGAGGUGGCACAGUUGAGGAGAAAGGCUGAGGCCCUUGGAGAUGAGCUGGAAGCCCAGGCCCGCAAGCUGGAGGCCCAAAACACGGAGGCUGCCCGCCUCUCCAAGGAGCUGGCCCAAGCGCGAAGGGCAGAGGCCGAGGCCCACCGGGAGGCAGAGGCCAAGGCCUGGGAGCAAGCCCGGCUGCGGGAGGCAGUGGAGGCUGCUGGCCGGGAGCUGGAGUCUGCGUCCCAGGAACGGGAGGCGCUGGUGGAGGCGCUGGCAGCAGCGGGCCGGGAGCGGAGGCAGUGGGAGCGUGAGGGGUCCAGGCUGCGGGCCCAGUCGGAGGCCGCCGAGGAACGGAUGCAGGUGCUGGAGAGCGAGGGCCGCCAGCACUUGGAGGAGGCUGAGAGGGAGCGCCGGGAGAAGGAGGCCCUCCAGGCGGAGCUGGAGAAAGCUGUGGUGCGGGGCAAGGAGUUGGGGGCCCGGCUGGAGCAUUUGCAGCGUGAGCUGGAGCAGGCGGCUCUUGAGCGCCAGGAAUUUCUGCGAGAAAAGGAAAGCCAGCACCAGAGGUACCAGGGCUUGGAGCAGCGGCUGGAAGCUGAGCUGCAGGCGGCGGCGACCAGCAAGGAGGAGGCGCUGAUGGAGCUCAAGACCAGGGCCCUGCAGCUGGAAGAGGAGCUGUUCCAGCUGCGCCAGGGCCCCGCGGGGCUGGGGCCCAAAAAGCGUGCGGAGCCUCAGCUGGUGGAGACCCAGAAUGUGCGGCUUAUUGAGGUGGAGCGCAGUGUGAGUGUGGGCCCACAGUGGGCCCUGGGGAGGUGCCCCGUGCAGUGUGAGUGUGGGUCCACGGUGGACCCUGGGCUGGGGGGUAUCCCGUGCAGUGUGAGUGUGGACUCACAGUGGGCCCUGGGCGGAGGGGUGCCCCAUGCAGUGUGAGUCCUGGAGAGGUGCCCCGUGCAGUGUGAGUGUGGGUCCACAGUGGGCCCGGGGGUGGGGGUGCCCCAUGCAGUGUGAGUGUGGGCCUGUGGUAGGCACUGGGGGGUGCCCCCGCCACCUGGCUAUUGCUAACCCCCACUUCUGGGCAGAAUGCGAUGCUGGUGGCAGAGAAGGCAGCUUUGCAGGGGCAGCUGCAGCACCUGGAGGGGCAGCUGGGGAGCCUGCAGGGCCGUGCCCAAGAGCUGCUGCUGCAGAGCCAGCGGGCGCAGGAGCACAGCAGCCGCCUGCAGGCCGAGAAGUCUGUGCUGGAGAUUCAGGGCCAGGAGCUGCACCGGAAGCUGGAGGUGCUGGAGGAGGAGGUUCGGGCGGCACGGCAGUCCCAGGAGGAGACCCGCGGGCAGCAGCAGGCCCUGCUUCGGGACCACGAGGCCCUGGCACAGCUGCAGCGGCGGCAGGAGGCCGAGCUAGAGGGACUGCUGGUGCGGCACCGAGACCUCAAGGCCAACAUGCGGGCACUGGAGCUGGCCCACCGGGAGCUGCAGGGCCGGCACGAGCAGCUGCAGGCCCAGCGGGCCAGCGUGGAGGCACAGGAGGUGGCCCUGCUGGCAGAGCGUGAACGCCUGAUGCAAGAUGGGCAUCGGCAGCGGGGCCUGGAGGAGGAGCUGCGGAGGCUUCAGAGCGAGCACGACAGGGCUCAGAUGCUGCUGGCAGAGGUGUCUCGGGAGCGGGGUGAGCUGCAGGGUGAACGCGGGGAGCUACGGGGCCGGCUGGCGCGGCUGGAGCUGGAGCGGGCACAGCUGGAGAUGCAGAGCCAGCAGCUGCGCGAGUCCAACCAGCAGCUGGACCUGAGUGCCUGCCGGCUGACCACGCAGUGUGAGCUAUUGACACAGCUGCGAAGUGCCCAGGAAGAGGAGAACCGGCAGCUGCUGGCUGAAGUUCAGGCCCUGAGCCGGGAGAACAGGGAGCUCCUGGAGCGCAGCCUGGAGAGUCGGGACCACCUGCACCGCGAACAGCGGGAGUACCUGGACCAGCUUAAUGCCCUGCGCCGCGAGAAGCAGAAGCUCGUGGAGAAGAUCAUGGACCAAUACCGCGUGCUGGAGCCUGUGCCCCUGCCCCGGACCAAGAAGGGCAGCUGGCUGGCAGACAAGGUGAAGAGGCUGAUGCGGCCCCGGCGGGAGGGGGGCCCCCCUGGGGGGCUGCGCCUGGGGGCCGAUGGGGCUGGCAGCACCGAGAGCCUGGGGGGCCCCCCGGAGACGGAGCUUCCUGAGGGCAGGGAGGCAGAUGGGACAGGGUCCCCUUCCCCGGCACCCAUGCGCCGGGCCCAGAGCUCCCUCUGCCUGCGGGAUGAGACCUUGGCAGGCGGGCAGCGGCGGAAACUCAGCUCAAGGUUCCCGGUGGGGCGAAGCUCUGAGUCAUUCAGCCCUGGGGACACCCCUAGGCAACGAUUCCGACAGCGCCAUCCAGGCCCCCUGGGGGCGCCCGUCUCCCACAGCAAAGGACCUGGUGUGGGAUGGGAGAACUCCGCUGAGACCCUGCAGGAACACGAAACAGAUGCCAACCGAGAGGGCCCCGAGGCACAGGAACCGGAGAAACAUCCCCUCACCCCAUCCCUCAGCCAGUGACACCGUGGGAACAGCAGGCUUGGGAGUGCAGCCUUCUCGGCACUGGAGUGUCAGCGGAGGCCCCAGGCAGCCCAAGAGCUCAGGGAGCCAGGGACCCCAAGGGGAGUCCUUGGACAAGGAGGCCUGGGCCCUGAGAUCCUCCACGGUCAGCGCCGGGGCCCGGAGAUGGAGCUGGGACGAGUGUGUGGACAGGGGGGAUGGCUGGCCCCCACGAGCAGCUCCAGGCCGGAGUUCUGGUUCUUCCAGGUGGCUCCCGCUGAGGCAGCGGUCUCUGGGGGAUCCCCCAGCUGAAGGAGGCUGGCAGGAGUCGGCAAGAGAACCCCGUGCCCUGUCCAGGUGGGGAGCUGAGUCCCAGUGCUGGGGGACUGUGGCCUGGGCUGAUCUUGAGCCUUAACUGGACAUGAGGGGCAUGAGAAUAAAGCUGAACUGC
rnacentral:sRNA from 1 species